AUUGAACGCUGGCGGCAUGCCUUACACAUGCAAGUCGAACGGCAGCACGGGUGCUUGCACCUGGUGGCGAGUGGCGAACGGGUGAGUAAUACAUCGGAACAUGUCCUGUAGUGGGGGAUAGCCCGGCGAAAGCCGGAUUAAUACCGCAUACGAUCUACGGAUGACAGCGGGGGACCUUCGGGCCUCGCGCUAUAGGGUUGGCCGAUGGCUGAUUAGCUAGUUGGUGGGGUAAAGGCCUACCAAGGCGACGAUCAGUAGCUGGUCUGAGAGGACGACCGGCCACACUGGGACUGAGACACGGCCCAGACUCCUACGGGAGGCAGCAGUGGGGAAUUUUGGACAAUGGGCGAAAGCCUGAUCCAGCAAUGCCGCGUGUGUGAAGAAGGCCUUCGGGUUGUAAAGCACUUUUGUCCGGAAAGAAAUCCUUGGCCCUAAUACGGUCGGGGGAUGACGGUACCGGAAGAAUAAGCACCGGCUAACUACGUG
rnacentral:rRNA from 1 species